rnacentral:rRNA from 1 species
GACGAACGCUGGCGGCGUGCUUAACACAUGCAAGUCGAACGGAAAGGCCCUGCUUUUGUGGGGUGCUCGAGUGGCGAACGGGUGAGUAACACGUGAGUAACCUGCCCUUGACUUUGGGAUAACUUCAGGAAACUGGGGCUAAUACCGGAUAGGAGCUCCUGCUGCAUGGUGGGGGUUGGAAAGUUUCGGCGGUUGGGGAUGGACUCGCGGCUUAUCAGCUUGUUGGUGGGGUAGUGGCGUACCAAGGCUUUGACGGGUAGCCGGCCUGAGAGGGUGACCGGCCACAUUGGGACUGAGAUACGGCCCAGACGCCUACGGGAGGAAGCAGUGGGGAAUAGUGCACAAUGGGCGGAAGCCUGAUGCAGCAACGCCGCGUGCGGGAUGACGGCCUUCGGGUUGUAAACCGCUUUCGCCUGUGACGAAGCGUGAGUGACGGUAAUGGGUAAAGAAGCACCGGCUAACUACGUG